CCUAACAGGAAAUAAGAGCGUAUGGUGGAUGCCUUGGCUCGAGAGAGGCGAUGAAGGACGUAGCAUGGCUGCGAUAAGCUUCGGGGAGGUGCCUAGCAACCUUUGAUCCGGAGAUUUCCGAAUGGGGAAACCCUAUUGAGUAAAACUCAAUAACUCUUUUCCUUAAUAAGAAAAGAGAGUGCACCCUGGGAAGUAAAACAUUUCAGUACCAGGAGGAGUAGAGACUAAUAAGUAUUCCGUAAGUAGCGGCGAGCGAAAGCGGAGAAGCCCAAAACCGUCGUUCCUCACUGCGUUCGGAACGACUUUAGCUGACAGCUGUCAGCUUUUAGCUUUUAGGAAUUAAAAACCUAACAGCUAAUAGCUAAAAGCUAGAAGCUUGAGUUGUGACGAGCAUAGCGAGGAGCGACGGUGGUUAUAAGAUAUUAGCGUCGGUUUUAUAUCGAGAGAAGUUACAAAAUUUUAUUUUAGCUGAAGUUGCUGGAAAGCAACACCCAAGAAGGUGAUGGUCCUGUAAGCGAAAAAAUAAAAUCUUCUUUGCUAGUAUUCUUGAGUACUUCGAGACAUGAAUAGCUCGGAGGAAUUUGCCGGAACUAACCGGUAAGGCUAAAUACUCAUCGAGACCGAUAGUGAACUAGUACCGCGAGGGAAAGGUGAAAAGAAGCCCGGUAAGGGCAGUGAAAUAGAUCUGAAACCAUAUGCUUACAAAGAGUUGUAGCGGGCAUCACAAGGAAUGUGAUGCCAGCUGUUAGCUACUGGCUAUUAGCUUUUAGGUAUUUCCUAACAGCUAAUAGCUAAAAGCUGAAAGCUGGGCGUCGCGCUUCGUGCGAUGCCCGUCACAGCGUGCCUAUUGAAGAAUGAGCCAACGAGUUGAUGCAUUCGGCAAGCUUAAGUCCCCGAAAGGACAGAAGCGUAGGGAAACCGAGUGUGAAUAGCGCGAAUAGUCGACUGCAUCAGACCCGAAGCCAAGUGAGCUUGCCUUGAGCAGGAUGAAGGUGGAUGAAAAUCUACUGGAGGUCCGAACGCUAGAGCUGUGCAAUACUCUGCGAUGACUUGAGGUAAGAAGUGAUAAGCUAAUCGAACUUGGUAAUAGCUGGUUCUCUCCGAAAUAGCUUUUGGGCUAGCGUCGAGUGAUCCCUCUGGGGGUAGAGCACUGGAUGGUCUGGACAGGUCGAAAGACCGCUAGACCAAUCAAACUCCGAAUACCAGAGGUUACAGCUCGGCAGUAAGACCGUGGGGGCGAAGCUUCACUGGUCAAAAGGGAAACAGCCCGGAUCUCAAUUUAAGGUCCCUAAAUUUAUACUAAGUGCGUCACAAGGUGGUAAGAUUUCUCUAACAAUGAGGAUGUCGGCUUAGAAGCAGCCAUCAUUCAAAGAAAGCGUAACAGCUCACUCAUCGAGAGAUUUUGCGCCGAAGAUAAUCGGGGCUAAGUAUAAUACCGAAAAUGAGGAUUUGUUGAUUCUUCGGAAUCAACAAGUGGUAGGAGAGUUUUCCAAUCUGCUGUGAAGGUAAAGGGGUGACCCAUACUGGAGCGUUUGGAAGUAAGAAUGUUGGCACAAGUAACCACAUUGGGAGUGAGAGACUCCCACGCCGAAAGACCAAGGUUUCCUCCUCAAUGAUUGUCAGAGGAGGGUUAGUCGGUCCUAAGGGAAUGGUGAAAACCGCACCCGAUGGAUAUACGGUUAAUAUUCCGUAACUUUCAAGUGGAAUGAUGAGAUGACGGAGUGUAGUAUGUUAAGCGCAUUAUUGGAUUUGACGCUCGAGGCGUUAGGACGGUUUCCAGGUAAGUCCGGAAGCCUACCUUUAAUGGUGAUCCAAGCGUAACGAAAAUUUGAGGGGCAACCCGAGAAAAUUUAACAAAGCAUACUCCCAAGAAAAGUCUCUAAGUUUAUCUAUUUGAAAUCCGUACCUAAACCGACACAGGUGGUCUCGUCGAGUAGACGAAGGCGAACGAGUGAAGGUUCUCCAAGGAACUCGGCAAAAAAUCAGCCGUAACUUCGGAAUAAGGCUUGCCCUUCGCAAGAAGGGCUGCAACAAAAGAAUGCCUGGCGACUGUUUAUCAAAAACACAGCUCCCUGCUAACUCGCAAGAGGAUGUAUAGGGGGUGACACUUGACCAAUGCCAGAAGGUCAAAUAACGGCGGUGUGUGCAUCACAUUGCAUGUGAGUCGUAGAAUGACGAAUAAAGAAUAAUGAAUGAAGGAAGAGAAUUUUCUUAACCUUUAUUCUUAAUUCCUAAUUCUUGAUUCUAUGGACUCGCGCGUAGCGUGAUGCAUAUGCUGACUGUUAUAAGCCCUGGUGAAUGUCGGCCUUAACUAUAAGGGUCCUAAGGUUCUCGAUUUGUUUUAUUUUACAAAUCGAGAAAACUGGGACUCUUAAAUAAGGUAAAUUUGAUAACCAAUAACUAUAACAACGAAAAUAAGACGCUGCCUUAGUAAAAUCUAACUAUAUCGGUAAAAAUCUUAAUUUAUUCAGAAGAAAAUACCGAGGCAACUCCUCUUUUUGAGGAGAAGUCCGUAGAGACUAAACGUUAGACGAGCGUUUUCUAAAGCAAGAUGCAGAAUGACGAAUAAAGAAUAAUGAAUGAAGGAAGAGAAUUUUCUUAACCUUUAUUCUUAAUUCAUAAUUCUUGAUUCUGCACCGAGCGAUAGCGAGCGCUUGAAGAUAUAGUCCGAACUUUGUGGUGACACAGAGAACGAAACAGAAAUGAUUUCGUCCAUACAAACAGUUUAAAGCUGUUUGUUAUGAAGUAACAAAAUUAAGCGCAAUUCCUUGUCGGGUAAGUUCCGACGCGUUGAAUAGUGCCACGUCUGGGCAACUGUCUCGGAGAACAGCUCGGUGAAAAUACAGUACCGGUGAAGAUGCCGGUUACCUGCAGCUAGACGAAAAGACCCUGGAAGCUUUACUACAACUUGAUAUUGAGUAUAUGUUUUUUAUGCGUAGCGUAGAUGGUAGGAUUUGAGGCGUUGAUUUCGGUUGACGCUGAUCCGUCAAUGAAACACCAUUCUUAAAAAAUAUAUAUUCUAACCUGUGCGGCAAAAACGUGCGGGAACAGUAUCUGGCGGGUAGUUUUGGUGGGGCGCUAUCCUUCCAAAAAGUAACGAAGGAGUCUAUUAAGGUUCCCUAGGCGCGAAUGGAAACCGUGCCGAUAGUGCAAUGGCAUAAGGGAGCUUGACUGCGAGGGGGACAUCCCAAGCAGGCGCGAAAGCGGAGCAUAGUGAACCGAUGGUACGUGUUAGACGCGGCCAGAGAUUAUCGGACAAAAGCUACUCCAGGGAUAACAGGCUAGUUCCGCCUAAGAGUCCAUAUCGACGGCGGAGUUCGGCACCUCAAAUCGGGGCGCCAUGCGAGAGAUCGCAUUAGCUACUAAAGCAUAAUACACAGGAGUGAACCCUGUUAUGUUUUUAGGAAAAUAUUGGCUUAUAACGGUGAACCCUUACUAAAUGUUUUUUUGCAAAAACGUUUUGAAGGCAAUACCGUGGGAACCCAGCACUUUCAAAGGUUUUUAAUUUGAAUGUGUUGGAGGCAGUACUUUCUCUAGAUUUUUUAACCUAAAAAUCGAGAUAUAGAAAGUGCUGGGCCCGUAGAGACUGAGCUGGUUUUACCAGCAAGAGUGUGAAGUAACAUUCAUACUAAAACGCCAACUCCUAAUCCACCAAAAGUGGAAAGGAAGAAGAUAUAGUCCAUACAAGUAGAAAUAUUUGUGAAAAGAUACGAUGUCGGCUUAUCACAUCCCGGGGCUGGAGAAGGUCCCAAGGGUAUGGCUGUUCGCCAUUUAAAGUGCUACAUGAGCUGGGUUCAGACCGUCGCGAGACAGGUUGGUCUCCUAUCUGCUGCAGGCGUUGAUUCUUGAAGAGAUUUGCUUCUAGUAAAUAAUUGCUACUUCACGCCGUAAUGCGUGAUGACAAUUUGGCUAAUAACGGUGAAAUCUUAAAUUUCUGAUCUGUUGAUAACCAUAAUCGAACUCGGUCCAGUGAUUAUGGUACAAUAUACUUGAGGACCAGAAAAAAUUAAGACAAUACCGUGGGAAGUCGAUCUAAAAUUAAUUAUGCGUAUAUUGCCGGAUUUCUUGAUGGCGAUGGUAGCCUUAUGUUGCAGAUAAAGCGACGUAAGGACGGUAAGAUGAAAUUUCGUUUUAUGACAACCAUCUGUUUUUAUCAAGAUUCUAGGCAUGAUCAAGGUUUAUGUUGGAUAAAAAAUAUUCUCAGAAUAGGUUACCUGUCAAAAAGAAAUGACGGUAUGACUGAACUUAGAAUAAACGGAUACAGACAAGUUAAGCUAAUUCUGAAGAAACUUCUACCUUUUAUUAGGUUUAAGAAAAUUCAGGCUAAAGCUUUACUUCAGGCUUGUUCCAUUCUUUCUAACACUAAAUUAAGAACAAUAACGCGUAGAUAUUUAAUUCAACUUGUAGAUCUUAUUUUAGUAAUACAAAGUGAAAACUAUGUUACUAAAAAAAAGAGGACAAAAAAUGAAUUAAUAAAAGUUUUAGGUUUGACCCCGUAACGACUGAAUUCCACUAAUUAGUGGAUGAAGAUAGAGGUGUAACAGCCUUUAUAAUAUGCCGAUUCCGCACCCUUUCAAAAAAGGACGGAAAAGAUAUAGUCUGCACACAUAGUGAUAUGUGAAUAUGUGACGAGAGGACCGAAGCGAACUGACCUCUGGUGUACCUGCUGUCGUGCCAACGGCACCGCAGGGUAGCUAUGUCGGGAACGGAUAACCGCUGAAAGCAUCUAAGUGGGAAACCGCCUCUAAGAUUAGGAAUCGUUUAGGCUCGUGGAAGACUACCACGUUGAUAGGCUUUAGGUGUAAGCGCAGUAAUGCGUUAAGCCGUGAAGUACUAAUCCGCCGAUUCUGUUAGGAA
rnacentral:rRNA from 1 species